UGGCUGUUUGGGUAACUAAUA
rnacentral:siRNA from 1 species